UUCGCAAAAAGUUGAGCAGGUCACCAUAGCAACAGUACUCGGUGAUGACCAGAACAGGCCCUAGAGCAGCCAAGAGAUUGGGAAAAGACCCGGAAGCAAAUGCGGACAACAUAAAUUAUCCUCAGCUGAUUCCAGGCCCCUGUGGAUGACCAUGGUGCGAUUGGAAGGAAGGCGUGAAAGAAGAGGGACAGCCCAUCGCUCCCCACGGGCCGGGCCGGCCUCGGCUCGCAUGCCUGCCGGCUCUCACAUGCCCCUGCCCUCCACCCUGGCCUGCCCCUCCCAGCCCCACGCACCUUUCUGCACUUUAAG